rnacentral:rRNA from 1 species
UACGAAGGGGGCUAGCGUUGUUCGGAAUUACUGGGCGUAAAGCGCGCGCAGGCGGUCUUCCAAGUCAGUGGUGAAAGCCCGGAGCUCAACUCCGGAACUGCCAUUGAAACUGUAAGACUUGAGGAUGAGAGAGGUGAGUGGAAUUCCCAGUGUAGAGGUGAAAUGCGUAGAUAUCUGCAGGAACACCCGUGGCGAAGGCGGCUGGCUGGACCGCAACUGACGCUGAGGAACGAAAGCUAGGGGAGCAAACAGG